AUUGGGUUUGGGACUUUAGGUGUAUGCGUGUGGUGUGUGACCGUGUGAGCUAGUUACCCGUGCACAGCUACUUGUACUCGAGCAUUGAGACGAUAAAAAAAAAGCUAUAUGAUAUUAUGAUGUACCAACUACGAAGUGAACGAAGGCACAGCAGUGUCGUCCUUGUAUACUUGUACUGUACCAACUUAAAUCAGUUUACGUGGCAGUUGCCCUUGGGCCUUGGCCACCCUGCGUUGCGUGCCAGAGGGCCCUGUUAUGAGCUUCGGCCUGUGUACCAAGAACUUGAACCUGUCUAGCUUAUGUGCUUUUGGUGCUCAUACUCGUUCUAUUGAAUAUCCAUAAACUUAUGCUUACUGCGAUAUUAAAAUCAAAUAACGAGACGUUUGGAUCCAUUUAUUUCGGAUUUAUUUUAGAGGAA
rnacentral:lncRNA from 1 species